rnacentral:lncRNA from 1 species
UAUAUCCAUUAUUUAGGUCUGCAAAAUGAGGAACUCAAAAGUUGUGUGUAAAUAAACAAGCUCUGUGUAGUGAUAUCUGACACGUUUCUAUGAUAAACAAGUGACUGAACUUAACCAUUUGUGUCGAUUUAGAAAGAAGGGGAACAUAGAAUAAAGGUGUAACAACUAUGGAGCUAUUAAAUGUGUUCAAAGUAUUCAAUUUUCAAAGAACUUAUUGUGUUA